UCCAGGUAAAGAAAAGUCAAGAUGUUAUUUAUUGAAAAUUUAGGUAGGAUUAUACGUCGUGUGGCACGAUUUUUUUCCAGUUAUUUAGGGAACUCAACAAUGUCCAUCAUGGAGGCGAGUACUAAAAUUUUGGAAAUUCCUGCUCUUGAAAGGGAUUUUAGAGAGGGAGCUCUCUACGAUGCGCGGAAUGAACAAAUUGUUAUAGGCUACAGUUUAUGGAAGGUAGAUGAUUUAAAGAAAAUCGAGGUCCACCGUAACGACAGCACAAAUUAAUACUCGAUAAAUGCAUCGGAUACUCUGAGCGAGAAAUUCAAGGGACUUAAUACCAGCGCUUCGGUUCAACUCAGCAUCGUAUCAGAAUUGAUUGACCUGAAACAAUCAGCGGAAAGUGUAAUGAAAACAAAUAUUACUGUAGGCGAGUCCAGCGUCCAAGUCCGAUAUUUCUUCAAAACGGGCUAUAAAGAAAUGGAUAUGGAUCAGUUGACAAAUAUUCGCUACGCAGAUGUUGCAAGAAGUGGACACAACAACAGAGCGACUCACUUUGUAACGAAAAUCCAAUACGGCGCCGGUGCCGUUUUCACUUUUACCAAAAAAAUUUGAAAGUAGCGAAAACGAAAUGAAAGUCAAGGACGAGGUCGCACUCUGUGGUAAAAAUGUCCAAAGUGUUCUCAACGGUAGUUUCGUAGGAAAUUAUCGAAAUUUUGCAAAUCAUAGCCAGAUGAAAUGCGAAUUUAAAAGUUUCGGCCUUUCCCUGAGUGAAGCGUUACCAACAACGUUCGACGAAGCCAUCAAGUUUGCCGGCAGUUUUGCCCGAACGGCUCAGCAGUCAUUCGCCAGACAUGGAAACGAGGCACUCGGUGUUCCUUGUAUCGUUUGGCUCCAUCCACUCGUAUCGCUGGAAGGAUGCGCUGACGCGCCCAAACUUUAUUGGGACUUUACCCCUGAUCAGGCGUGUCAAUGUAUCAAUUUUUUUGAAGAAUGUGACACAUUUGAAUUGAAAAUGUUAAAGUUAAAGUUAAAAUUUGCAUUGAUA
rnacentral:misc_RNA from 1 species